UCUGUUAGAGCUGAAAACGGAAGGCGAAACCCGGGAAUUUGUUGCAGAACGAAGAUGUUCAGAGCGCGCUUCGGUCCACAUAUGGGUACUAGAGAGGUCUUAAGUUCCAUGAAACCACCAUGAAUCCAGGGCUCGGAUCACCUCGUUGCCUUUUCUCUUCUUAAACCCGACCCUGUUAAAAGUGAAUGGGGGCAUCAAUCCUGUUCUCCUUAAUAUCACCGCAGUAGUUUUGCUAUUCCAUGAUUUGCUCAACUCACUGUAACAUCCUACUAUGCCUCCUCAAGUGCUUCUCAUGAUGGAGUUUCACUUCUCACUCAAAGAAAUGAAGACACUCGCACUUCUCGAACUUAGCAACAAAGGACUCAAAUGAUUUCACAGGAUUCAAGCUAAUCCCCACUUUCCAUAAGUGUUGCGAAGGAAGGGCCUGGCUGGCUGUCUCCUUUCCAGCACUCGAGGUACCUUAAAAUUCACAAAGUGCGCAGGAGGGAGGGAUGUACAGUAGCACCUCAAAAGUAAGGGGGAGGGCUAUGCUUUUAGGACAAUACAUUGAACCAAAACUCAAAGCAAAUUAUUAUUGGAUUAUUUUUCAUUUGAUUGCUCAAAUGAAAUGAGAUUGUCAGAGGUUUAAGAAAAAGAGAAGAAAAAGUGAAGUAUGGUUGCUCUCAGAAUCAAAGUGAGAAACCACACACACUUGUCCUCAAAAAGUAGGCCAUCGUCCAUAUCUA